AAGAAAUGCUGAUAGAAGUUCUUCAGGCUGAGGGGAAAUGAUACUAAGAUGGAAACUCGUCUUUAGGAAGGAAUGAAGAGCAUUAGAAAUGGGAAACGUCUAAUUCUGUUGGAGGACCAGAGACACAGUCACUGACUGCUCUUCCUGAAACACUAGCCCAAGUGGACAAGUUGGACCUUGUCAGGGAAUCCCAGAAGCCAAGCAUGGCCAUCCAUUGAAGUGAGACCACAGAGGGGAGAGUUCCGUGAAAAGCUGUUGUAGCUACUGCAUCUGUGGGUCUGCAGCUAAGCAUUGGUGCUCCUUCACACAGGUCUGACCCUGUUCUGCACAUCUUUAACUGCUGCCUCGAGUUUGGUUCUAACCUUGUGAACUCCCCUAACUGUGGUACUGCUAGCCUCAACUCUAAGUAUCCAUCCUCAUUGCCAAGAUUCCUGCUUCUACACCCCAACACCACAUGGGACCAUUGUAUUUGACGGACCUACAAUUCCAGUUAGCCCACCCUCCUGGAUAUAGUGAUUUGUACAGAUGACUAACCAUGCACAAGCCAGGUUC